rnacentral:rRNA from 1 species
CAGUAGCCGCGGGAAUACGAAGGGGGCUAGCGUUGCUCGGAAUUACUGGGCGUAAAGGGAGCGUAGGCGGACAUUUAAGUCAGGGGUGAAAUCCCGGGGCUCAACCUCGGAAUUGCCUUUGAUACUGGGUGUCUUGAGUAUGAGAGAGGUAUGUGGAACUCCGAGUGUAGAGGUGAAAUUCGUAGAUAUUCGGAAGAACACCAGUGGCGAAGGCGACAUACUGGCUCAUUACUGACGCUGAGGCUCGAAAGCGUGGGGAGCAAACAGGAUUAGAUACCCCUGUAGUCCCUGUCUCUUAUAU